UCACUACAGCCCCAUGGCCCCAAGCCUGACUGGUGGGGAGUAUGGACUCCAACAUUCAGCCUGCAUGUCUGCUGCUACAGAGGAGAAAAGCAUGGCUUCCACCUCCUUCCACCUCCGCCUUCCAAAUUUCACACAGAUUACCUGGUGGACUCGUGGCCCACGAAUGGUGGAAAUGUGCGCCAGAGUAAGAUGCAGAGAGGAGGACAAGCCCGUAGACUUUGCAGAGGGGCCGAGAGGCCUGAGAAGUAAGAGAAGACCAGGAGACAGGGGCUCCUGAAAAGAUAGAUAAGAGAUUACCAUGCGGGGUUCCCACAGCUUUUGCAGACAGCGGCUGCGCAAAAAUUCAUUGGAAGAACUGAGGAAUGUUGCUGGCUCCAUCUGGGGGAGGGCAUGCUUGUAUCAAGACACUGAUGCUCUUGAUGUGCUAUAAUUAUAACCAGAAACACUAUCCUUUUGCCCAGGAAACUGGAUUUCCUAGUAAAUUCCUUACUUUCCAACUUGUUUAACGCUAAGAUAA